UACGUAGGUGGCAAGCGUUGUCCGGAAUUAUUGGGCGUAAAGCGCGCGCAGGCGGUCCUUUAAGUCUGAUGUGAAAGCCCACGGCUCAACCGUGGAGGGUCAUUGGAAACUGGGGGACUUGAGUGCAGAAGAGGAGAGUGGAAUUCCACGUGUAGCGGUGAAAUGCGUAGAGAUGUGGAGGAACACCAGUGGCGAAGGCGACUCUCUGGUUGGAUACUGACGCUGAGGUGCGAAAGCGUGGGGAGCAAACAGG
rnacentral:rRNA from 1 species